UACGUAGGCGGAAAAUUAAGUCAGUAGUGAAAUCCUGCAGCUUAACUGUAGAACUGUUAUUGAUACUGUUUUUCUUGAAUAUAGUUGAGGUAGGCGGAAUGUGUAAUGUAGCGGUGAAAUGCUUAGAUAUUACACAGAACACCGAUUGCGAAGGCAGCUUACUAAGCUAUGAUUGACGCUGAGGUACGAAAGCGUGGGGAGCGAACAGGAUUAGAUACCCUGGUAGUCC
rnacentral:rRNA from 1 species